AUUCAACAUGAAUACUCCAAGGCUAAAACAAAAACUGGCGUACAACAAAAUGCCUUUUAAAAAGCCUAAAGUUUUGAUUAGUUUCUUUACUUCAGCCAGAAAAUUCUAUAAAACCUUAUGGCAAUCUUGUUUUCAUCUGACAGUAGUUUUCUCCUCCACAGUAUUGUCCAUAAUUCACCAUUCAAGAGAGGGGGGGAUGGACUCCCCCAGCAUGACUCUUUAUGUUCUCUUUAAUUUAUAGGCGGCCAGGAAUGCACAAGUAGCCUAGGAUCUGAUCCUACCUUGAAUCAAGUUUUAAUGUCCAUUUCCUUUUAAAGUAUUGGUUAUAACAUAAAAAGAUGAAUCAAUAAUGUUCUUUCUUCAACAUAAACCAAAUUUGACGCAAUUGCACCACCCGACCCUCGUACAACCACUAUUCAGAAGCCAUAAUCAUGGUUAAAAACCAAAAAUAAAGAUUAUUUAAGCAAAACUAAUCCAGAAGUACCACAAAAAACUACAAAAUCCUAUUUAGAUUAAACACGUUAAAAUGUCUUUUACUGUUGAUCACCCGAAAAAUCAGCACCGAUCAGGGAAAUAAAUUUUUCAAAACAUCAAACCUACAUGACAAUACCAAAUCCCAAAUCUUUCAAAUAAUGAGAAAAUAUUUUAAAACUGGGCUUCCAGGAGGACAAGGCAGGGUUGACGAACAAUGGGGAUGGUGCUGGCCGAUGGACAGUGAAGGUAGAUGUAGUGGAAGAGGAAAUUAUGUAAAUUUGAACGACAAGGGAGGUAGAACCAAUAUGAAGGUGGUGAAGCCAGAUGCAGUAAUGGGGGGAAAUGAGAAUGGUGAUUAUGCGUGGAAGCGAGAUUUGGUAGAUGUGGAUU
rnacentral:lncRNA from 1 species